rnacentral:rRNA from 1 species
AUUGAACGCUGGCGGCAGGCUUAACACAUGCAAGUCGAGCGGGGGAAGGUAGCUUGCUACCGGACCUAGCGGCGGACGGGUGAGUAAUGCUUAGGAAUCUGCCUAUUAGUGGGGGACAACAUCUCGAAAGGGAUGCUAAUACCGCAUACGUCCUACGGGAGAAAGCAGGGGAUCUUCGGACCUUGCGCUAAUAGAUGAGCCUAAGUCGGAUUAGCUAGUUGGUGGGGUAAAGGCCUACCAAGGCGACGAUCUGUAGCGGGUCUGAGAGGAUGAUCCGCCACACUGGGCAUGAGACACGGCCCAGACUCCUACGGGAGGCAGCAGCGGGGAAUAUUGGACAAUGGGGGGAACCCUGAUCCAGCCAUGCCGCGUGUGUGAAGAAGGCCUUAUGGUUGUAAAGCACUUUAAGCGAGGAGGAGGCUACUUUAGUUAAUACCUAGAGAUAGUGGACGUUACUCGCAGAAUAAGCACCGGCUAACUCUGUGCCAGCCGCCGCGGUAAUAC